GUAAAAUGGCCGAAUUUUAGGUGAUAAAUUGUAAAUUUAUUUAUGGAUAUUUUCCUUUUGCU
rnacentral:tRNA from 1 species